rnacentral:rRNA from 1 species
GGGGUGCUCGAGUGGCGAACGGGUGAGUAACACGUGAGUAACCUGCCCUUGACUUUGGGAUAACUUCAGGAAACUGGGGCUAAUACCGGAUAGGAGCUCCUGCUGCAUGGUGGGGGUUGGAAAGUUUCGGCGGUUGGGGAUGGACUCGCGGCUUAUCAGCUUGUUGGUGGGGUAAUGGCCUACCAAGGCGUCGACGGGUAGCCGGCCUGAGAGGGUGUACGGCCACAUUGGGACUGAGAUACGGCCCAG